GACGGAGGGUGCUAGCGUUGUUCGGAAUUACUGGGCGUAAAGGGCGCGUAGGCGGCUGCUCAAGUCGGGUGUGAAAGCCCGGGGCUCAACCCCGGAACGGCACCCGAGACUGGGCGGCUCGAGACCGGGAGAGGUGGGUGGAAUACCCAGUGUAGAGGUGAAAUUCGUAGAUAUUGGGUGGAACACCGGUGGCGAAAGCGGCUCUCUAGUACGGUACUGACGCUGAGACGCGAAAGCGUGGGGAGCGAACAGG
rnacentral:rRNA from 1 species